AUGGCUUGCUAACCCUGCAACCCCAACCCUCACCUCCUUGCCAGCACCACGGUCAUCGCUCCUGGACCUGAGCAUGCGCAGCAAGGCUAUGUCGUCCUAGGUGGUGAACUUCCGAUGGUAUGUGUCAAGUGGGCCAUUGCCACUCUGGUUCCUGGCAUCUCACCUGAAGAUUUUCUGGCUGCCAAUGCCAUGAUCUCAGAGUUUCUUGAAGCCAAAGGUUGGAGAAUCAACUACAUGUCCAGAUGUGGUAUGGGUACCAUUCUGAUUCAGUUUACUACUGCUUGCUCGAGGGAUUUUGCUGUCAGUAACAGUCCUUAUGAGAUUGUGGACUCUGUUCUUCGCAUCACUAGGCAUGACAAGAGCUUAAACUACCAUAGUAUUGCAUUUACCCAUGAUGUUUGGCUCAUGUUGAUGAACCCGCUCGAGUGUUGGGAUGUUGGAAUUGUCAGUCGCACUGUUUCCCAGUAUGGUAGGUUUUUGAUGUGGAACAAAGAUCCUAGAGACAAAACUAAGAUUAUUGUAAAAGUCAGAGUCAUGAAUGUUGAUACACUUCCAGUUAGCAUUGUUGUUCUGCACAAUCUUGAUGAUGUUGGAUAUGGUGACUCAUGGACAUGCCCCACUUACAUGUUAUCUCAUGAGCUGAUUGGGCAACAAGGUGGCGAUGAGGAUCCUCUUUCCCCUGCCACAUAUCCAGAAAGGGUUUUGGCAUGA
rnacentral:rRNA from 1 species